UACAGAGGGUGCAAGCGUUAAUCGGAAUUACUGGGCGUAAAGCGUGCGCAGGCGGUUAUGCAAGACAGAUGUGAAAUCCCCGGGCUUAACCUGGGAACCGCAUUUGUGACUGCAUAGCUGGAGUACGGCAGAGGGGGGAUGGAAUUCCGCGUGUAGCAGUGAAAUGCGUAGAGAUGCGGAGGAACACCGAUGGCGAAGGCAGCCCCCUGGGCUAGCACUGACGCUCAGGCACGAAAGCGUGGGGAGCAAACAGG
rnacentral:rRNA from 1 species